rnacentral:misc_RNA from 1 species
AGAUUGCUGGUACUGGUUGGCUGGGAACUGUGUUAAUCCAACCUGUGGUUUUAGACACCCUGUAAGCAUAUCACUUCUCUUUAUAUCUCUUGUGUGUGUCAGUGGGUGCGUGUGUGAAUUAGAAUUUAUUGAGUUUGACUGUACUUGAUACUAAUUGCACAUUUAAUCUCCGAAUGCUGGUGUUCACUUCUUUUAUAUUUUCAAAUGGGAAUGUAUUCUUAUGUCAUUCUCUGUAUGAAACAUUUGGAUUGUUCACUUAUUUAGCCCCUUAGGAAUGAUAUAUUCUUGAAUUUUGUUUUUUAAAUUUGUGCAUCAUAGAUAUCCCACUCUGUUAAUGAUAUGAUCCAUGUGGCUUAGGCGACAUAUGCUAGUAGGUUGCCAGUUCAUGCUGGGAAAAAAGGUUACGAUGGGGGAACAAUGUUUGAAAUUAAGUGUACCUUUUAUUUAUAUACAUUUCUUUGUUAGAAUUGUCUUGUAAAAAUCACAAUCAGCGCCAUAAUUUCCUGAUGUUUGACUGUUUGUUAUUGCCUCAUUAAAAAACUGUAAAUAGCCAGGAAUGCCAAAGCUUAAUAAAAUUUGUCUGCUUGCCUUUGUUUUUUAGUGGCUUGGGGGUAGGGGCCUGGGGAUGGGUUCUAAGCUCUAACUAUUUAAAGGACGAAUAUUGGAUUGGAGAACUCCCCCAAUGAACAUCAGUGCACUAUUUUAGUUGUGUAGGUGACCAUAAAGGACUUGGUGAGGUUGUAGUAAAGUCUAAAUGUGUGGAGAUUUUGAGAAAAGAGCAACUACCAACUCAAUGAUAGAUCGAGUGAAUACUUCAGAUUGUUGAUGGGUAUAACAUUCUUAGAAUUUUCAGAAAUAAAAAGCCAAAAAAGAAAAACAAGUAUUUAGGCCCUGAUUGGCAUUAAAUUCGAAGGUCUAAAAGCGCUUUUCAGGAAAAAAAAAAUUAUUUUAGAUGUUGAAAAAAAAACAAUUUGGAAAAAAAUUGUUUCGUCAUUUUAGUAUUUGUAUGGCUAAAAUAUGUCAAAUUUA